rnacentral:rRNA from 1 species
CCUACGGGUGGCAGCAGUGGGGAAUAUUGGACAAUGGGCGAAAGCCUGAUCCAGCCAUGCCGCGUGUGUGAAGAAGGCCUUCGGGUUGUAAAGCACUUUCAGUGGGGAAGAAAGCCUUGGGGCUAAUACCCUCGAGGAAGGACAUCACCCACAGAAGAAGCACCGGCUAACUCCGUGCCAGCAGCCGCGGUAAUACGGAGGGUGCGAGCGUUAAUCGGAAUUACUGGGCGUAAAGCGCGCGUAGGCGGUCUGAUAAGCCGGUUGUGAAAGCCCCGGGCUCAACCUGGGAACGGCAUCCGGAACUGUCAGGCUAGAGUGCAGGAGAGGAAGGUAGAAUUCCCGGUGUAGAGGUGAAAUGCGUAGAGAUCGGGAGGAAUACCAGUGGCGAAGGCGGCCUUCUGGACUGACACUGACGCUGAGGUGCGAAAGCGUGGGUAGCAAACAGGAUUAGAUACCCCGGAGUC